GGCCCGGAGGCGCCGCCCACUUUUUCGGCCCUCUACAAAGCGCAGCUGGGUUUGCGCCUCGAGCCGCCACGCCCUGGGGUCUUGGGCCUUGUUGGCGGCAAUUCCUGGCCCCUGUGUGCGCGGGAGAAGGAGUCUGGUGGGGCCGUGGGCAACACAGAGGGACGCCGGUGCGCGUGGCGAGCCCAGGCCGCAGCCGCAGGUUGUUCACCCUCUCCUGCCCUAGGGCGCAAGCUCUGCCUUUUGGUCGCCCGGUGCCGCUCCAGCUGCCAGGGAGGGGGUUUGUCUCUGCGACGGGAAAAGACCCGGACGGUGCUAAUGGUAUUGGUGGGUCUCCAAUAGGUUUGGAGCGAACGCAUUUCCGUGGCGGUGGGGAAGGGCCCCGGGGCCGGAUUGUAGGAGGGCCCUUAACGGGGAGGACUGGAGAAAAAUCUGCACCCAAGGGAGUGGGGAAAUUCGACAAAGAGAGAGAGAGAGGAAGAGGAGAAGGAAACCCGGAGGGGCUGGGGCUGCAUGAUUCUUAAGAGGCGGUCUCAAUGAGUAGUAUACAGGCAUUUCAAAAGGUGCAGUGGAGCCUCACUUUUCCAAGCAGUAAUGAAUGAUGCCAGCAGUGUGCAUAGGUAGUCGUUGCAUUCGUAUUUAUUCUUUUCACUACUGGACCGGGCUAGAGAUUUCCCCCCCCCCCCAGCAGAUCUGGUCUUUUUCAUCUGUGCCGGCCUUUAGGAGGUGACUCCUUUGUUGGGGGGGGGGGGGAUUGCCAAACCAUGCCCUUUUUUUCUGUUUUCAGAAGUAAGGAAGAUUUGAGUUGGCAGCCUUUAACCAAAAACACGUUUGUUUGUUUUCCUCUCUGCAGCUCCCCAGGUGUCUUGGGCUCAAGCAGGGAGCUGAGCUCCUGCUCUCAGAAUGUGUUGAUGACUGAUAGAAACACAAAUUAUCGAAGAGAUGGGAAUAUGUAAUAGAAUCUCCCCCCCCCCCCUUAGACUAAAAACCUCAUUCAGAAUGAAUGGUCAUUGGGUAACUCUAGCCCUAAAAAUAGUCUGUUAUCAAACAGUGACCAAAUAUAAUUCCAGAUUAGAGCAUGAGGUUAUUUGAGAGCCAGGAGGCAGAAGAAGGGAUCAGUGCUUUUCCAAAAUUGAAAAAAAGUGUUGAUACAUAAUUACUUCUAUAGCAAUUUUCUAAGUGUAGAACAUUGAUUUUAGAUGUUAUAGUAACAGUUUUGUCACAAUAUAAUCUUUUUCUUCUGUUAAGUAUUUCACAGCAAAUCUGAAUGUUUAAAGAAUGGAAUACAGAAAACCACAAAAAACUUCAGCUAUUGAUUUAAUCUCAUCUGAAAUUCUACAGGUAAGUAUAUCUUAUUUUUAAUUUAAAAAUUAUCUUAGUUGAUGAAAAAGGUCUAUUAUAGUGCCCUUUACUGGGUUUUAGGUAUCAUUGAUGCAGCUGCAAUGUUUGUUAUAAUAUAUUCUAGCAUGUUUCUCCAGAGGGUUUGAAGAAGGCAAGAUUCAAGCUCUAUUUAAUUUGGUGGGUUGUAUUCAAGUUCAGACUCAAUUCUCUUCAUCUCUGAGAAAAUGAUGCACUGAAUACGUUCAUCUUUCCCUUCUGGUAAAUAAUUUGCCUUUCCCCUAUGCCCAACCUCUUCGUUCUGUCCACCAUUGGAUGAUUCAGAUAGAAACUCUUUUUUUCACCACUAUAUAAUGUCCAGGCCAAAUACACUUUUCUAUUGCAGUUUUGCAGGUAUUGUUGGUUAUUAUUGCUUGCUGUGUAUUAGAUCCCAUUGUAUGGUAAAGAACCACGUUGUAUGGCCUCAUGACUGAAGUCAACAUGUGGGAUCAAACAGGGUACUCUUAUAUAAUCUUGUGUAACAGAUGCAUUCAAAAAUUGCAGGCUGCGUAUGGUGGCACACACCUGUAAGCCCAGCAGCUUGGGAGGCUGAUGCAGGAGGAUCCCUUAAUGAGACCCUGUCUCAAAAUAAAAAAAUAAAAAUGAGCUGGAGGUACAGUUGAGUGGUAGAGUACCCAAUCUUCCCAGUUCAAUCCCCAGUGCCAUAUUAAAAAAAAAAAAAAAAAAGUUGCAGUUUUGUAGGCUCUUUGCUAGACAUCUCUUUUGGGAUUUUUGACAAUUAUUUUUAAUAAAAAUUACAUAUUAUAAAUAUUGAUUUGCUUUUGUUACUGCAUCUCUUGGCACAUUGUGAAUUAGAAGAAAAAGGGGAAGAUGAAGAUAUGGUGAUAUGUAGGGGUCAUGUGAGAGGAAGAUGAAGUCACAGAACAUCUCUAGGGCAGGGUCUUGAAAGGCUGACAAAUGAAAAAUUUGAGCUCCCUGAAGCUCUGAGACAUUGAAGAAUAAAAACCAGAAAGCUAGUGCAGAUUUUUUAAGUUUACCAUCCCAUGUGUUUCUGACCCCUAACAUAGGUAGUUAAAUAGGAAGCCAAGGACUCUUGCCCCCCUGUUGCAUCCACAGCCCAGGCGAUUAAUACCAGCCAUGCCCACCCUCCAGGAACCAUUUCAUGUAGGCCACAUGUUACCAGCUUGACUAGGAUCUCCUUUCAGUAGCAUGGCCCUUAAGGAUCAUGAGGAAACCAAGGGAAGAGAGAUUUUGGGAGAUUUUAUUGAUGCCCCAAGGGAUUCCAUUUCAUAGGACUAGAACAAACAUUUGCAGACUAGGCCUGUUUUGUAAAUAUAGUCAUCCCAUGGGAUUCAUAAGUUCCAUAUCUGUAGAUUCAGCCAACCAUGGACUUAAAAUAUUGGGGAAAAAAAUGUGCCAAACACGUGCAGACAUUUUUUUUGUCGUUAUUUCCUAAACAUAGCAUUUACAUUGCAUUUGGUAUUAUAAAUAAUAUAGUGAUGAAUAAAAGUAUAAAAUAGUGAUGAAUUAAAGAUAUGCAGAGGUUAUGUGCAAUACUAUGCUAUUAUGUGAGUGACUUGAGCAUCCAUGGAUUUGGGUAUCUGCAGGGAACACAGCCACACCCAUUUGUUUAAUAUUUUCUAUGGCUAUUUUCUGUACAAAGACAGAUGGAGGAUAUAUGGCCUGCAAAGAUAGCAUUUACUAUCUGAGUUUUUAUGUAAAACAAAUUUUACCCACCCCAGGCUAAAAUAUUGAUUUCUACAACACUCCUAAGCUAUACAUUUUGAACAGGCUCUUGUAGUAUAAAGAAGCACCAUUCCUGUUAAAACAUUUCAUAGUUCUGCAUUCACUUACUCUCAAUGGGAAAGCAAAGACUCAAAUUAUUUCUUUUAUGUAAAACUGUAUUUGGUAUUUUGGUUGUGGAUUUUGCUUUUGAAGAUUUAUCACUGACUCUUACAGUAUUAAAUAGUUCCUUUAUACUAUUGCAAGCUCUCUAAUUUUAUUGGGUAUCAGCACAUUCUGGAAGGGCAUACUCGGUUCCCUGCCCAGCACUCUGGUAAUUAUUUUGGAGAUAUUUGAGCUGAGUGGUCACGUCCCCCACCCCCAUCUUCUUCAGGUGUGCCUCAUUCAUAAGGUUCAGUUUAACUUGAGGGCAGGACUUGUCAUCUUCACUGCUGCCGCCUCUCACACAGGACUUGAGUGAAUGAACUAAUGAAUGAAUGAGUGAAAAUACUAAGGGGAAAGUAGUUGAUGAUUAAGCCUGACAGAAGAGAAUGAUAAAGAUUUGUAACAUUCCUUAUUCAGGGAAAUGAUGGGAUGUAAUGUCAACUAGAGCAGGUUACUCUUCUUCUUCCAGUGGGUAAAGCUGUUUGUAAUAAAACAGGGACAAAAAGGCCAGCUUUCAAAUCAGUAUUGUUGCUCUUCUGUCUGAUUUGUGUACUGUUUGCUCCAGUUUUCCUGGCUUCCCUGACCCAUCCAGUCAUUGCUUUCCCACUGGCUACUCUGUAACAUGGUGUUCUCAGACUAUACCCCCCUGAGUGCAGAGGUGUGUCUGCUUUUGCUCCACACUUCUCUUCCUUCCAAGGAAUCCCAAGGCUAUCCCAGUCUCUAUUCCUGCUUGCUUUGGGUUGCAUGCCACAACCCCCAAAUCUAUAAAAGAUUCCCAUAUUCAGGGACUGUUCUACCUACAAGAAAGUAGUACCCUGUUUAUAAACAGUAUAUAAUGUAUCUUUUUAAACAUUUCUUUAAAAACCCAGGUGUGUCUUCUACCUCAGCAUAUCAAGGCAACAGGCUUCCCUUUCCUUGAAGCUUGAAUGAAAGACAUUCUUCCAUACAUCUCAGAAUACACCCGAGAGUGGUACUGCUGCAGCCAGCGGGAAUUUCAAGGGCAAAAUUGGGAAAUGGCAAUGGAGUAAAGGUACUUUGUACUCACUAUCUACUGAGAAUGUGUAAGGGCCACAGAAAGAGGUAUUCAACGUGGUUUUAUGUUUCCCUUAAACUCAAUACCUCAGAUUUAUUCUUAAAAGUUGAACCGUUUUUAAAAAUGUAUGCCAAAAUGAAACCCAGCUAUGAUGGAUUGGCCAAUUUUGAAGCCAUCUAGCCACUGUCAUUAGACUCACAUUUUUCUAUUUUGUUCAGAAGGAUCUUUCAGUGUCCAGUUCCAGAAGCUAAUUCUUGAGUGUUAUCUAAGGCUUCCCUUGACUUUCUGGUGAAGGAACCCUAUUGAAAAUGGAGAUGAGUUUAAUCAGAGAGAGGCAUUUAGUCUCUGCUAACUCCUGAUGGGCACUACUUUGGUGUCUGUUUACUAAAAAUAUUUACAGAAGCCCAGUAACCUACUCAGGGUUAUUUGGGAUAUAAAUUCAUUAACAUAAUUCCAUUUAGCAAUUUCUCCAUUGUUGAAAAGUGACCUUAUAAGGGAAGCUUGUUGAGACAUUAAUCUCUCAAGCAUCAGUUGGAAAAGGUUCAUGUACUUUGUUGCUCUCUGCUAGUUGCUAGAAGUGCCUACUAUAGGACUUUUAACAGUACAAGUCAUACCUAGAAAAAAAAAAUAGUUCAGUUGCAGGAAGACUAUGAGGCAGGUAGAAGGAUUACAGAAGAGGAGAGCAUGUGAGAGAAGAAACCAGAAAGUCUACCGUCAGGAAUGUAUGAGAACUUAUAUUUGCAGAGAAACAACAUCAGGCAUUUGACAUCCUAGAAGAACUAGAAUCCUUGAACUCUAGGAGAAGGCUUACUGCCUGGAAGGAGAAACUAGAUCCACUAGGAUUUAUUUGCAUAUUUAACUGUAUCAUAUAAGUGGUAUCAUAUAAUACACAUUUGGGAGCUAGCAGUGGAGUUUGUAAAUGGAACCAAUGUAGGCAAGUAAGAAUGAAUUAGAGGAAGCCUAUAGAGUAUGGACUUGUAUUAAUAAGAGAUAAGCACCAUCUGCUUAUCUCGGUGCCAGCCCAGCCCUAACCUCCACAUUUAGCAUGUUUUAUUUCAUUUAGUCCUCGUAGUAAGCCCAUGAGGACGGUAUUAUUGCUGUUAUUUUACAGAUGAGGUAACUGAAGCUUUAAAAGGUUAAUUUUCCCAAGUGGGUAUUUGAUGCUGCUCAGACUUCCAAUAUGUAAAUCACCUGGAGAUGUUGUUUAAAAGAUUCUGAUUCAGAAAGUCUGUGGGGGUGUUGGUGGCUAGUUGAAGGUCUGCGUUCCUAGCAUCCUCCAGGUAGUGUCUAUGUACUGCACUUUAGAGAGGUGAGGGGCUAGGGCAGCACAUUGGAAGCUUUAAAAAUAAUGCCACCUCAGCCCCACCACCCUCUGAAAUUGGUUCACUGGUUUGAGAUACUGUCUGGCUUUCAGUGUUUUUCAUGGUCUCCAGAAGAUUAUGUAAUACAUAGCAAAGUGAGAACCUCUGGGUUCAAGAAGAGUGAAAAAGAAAAGCAGUGGCCAGAUGUCAUUGGCUUUGCUUGUUUUUAAUGUAAUCAGAGGUCAUCAAGCACAAAGCAGAGGUAGGGUGUGAAGAUAAUUAGGCAUUUAACUGAGUCUAAUGAAUAAUAGACUCAAUUAUAUUGCAUUGUUUAUGAAUUAAUGUGUUUAGUUUGAGAGUUACUACUAGGGAGAUUUCCCUCAAGGAUGGAUAUUGAUAUGUGGGUUUUUUCCCUCCUUUAUAAAUGAAAGGAUAUGUUUGAUUGUGUAAUUGUGAUUUGUAUUUAACUUAAUAUUCACAGGAUCUUUAUUAGGCAAUUAGGAUUUCCAGCCCCUUUGCACCGUUGUUUCUUUUAUGUAGAAGAAAAAUUAGAAUGUUGCACAACUGUCAGUGGUUUAGUUUGCACAUGUGUUUUCUUGGAAUGACCCCAAUCUAGCAUGCUUGGGCUUAAAGUUUAAUUAAAAUUUGUUUUUUGUUUUUUUUCCUCUCUGGCCCUUUUGAAAUGCACAUGAUCAGAAUCGGGGAAACUAUUAGAAUAAUGCUUUGUUAUUAGAAGAUGCCUAGAGAAAAGUAAGCAUAAUCUAACAAAUUCAGGAGUUUAUUUUUAGAUUCAGUUCAUUCUUAGGAAUAUUUAUUAAGUAGAUAAAAGUUCAUUACCAGCCUGCACAGUGGCAUGUGCCUAUAAGUAAUCCCAGUGACUCGGAAGGCUGAGGCAUAAGGAACCCGAGUUUGAGGCCAGCCUAAGCAAUUUAGCCAGACCUGUCUCAAAAAAUCAAAAGGGCAAGGCACAGAGGCACACACUGCACUGUAAUCCCAGCAAUUUGAGAGGUUGAGACAGGAGGGUAACAAGUUCAAAGCUAGCCUCAGAAAUUUAGUGAGACCCUGAGCAACUUAGAGACCCUGUCUCAAAAAAUAAAAGGACUAAGGAUGCAGCUCAGUAGUAGAGCACCUCUGGGUUCAAUCCUCAAUCCAAAAAAAAAGAAAAAAAUGUUCAUUACCAAACUUUGCACUGUAUGCCGGUAUCCCAAGCAUCUACCAUGUGUGAGACAGUGGGGCUAUGGAAGGGAACAGGAUUGAUCAGGUCUUUUUAUAGCCCAAUUUCACAUUCUCUUAAAGGGAACAGACAAUAAACACAAUUUUAAAAAAAUAUAUUUUUAGUUGUAGAUGGACACAGUACCUUUAUUUUAUUUUAUUGAACCCAGUGCCUCACAAGUGCUAGGCAAGCACUCUACCACUGAGCUACAAAGCCAGCCCACCAAUUUUUUUUUUUUUUUUAAAGAAAAUCCAGAUAGCAUUAAAUGCUUAGAAGAAAAUAAGAAGGAUGUGAUAGAAAACAAGGGCUGGGGAAACUUAACUUGAGAUAAGGGGUCAGGUAAGGAUUCUUCUAAGUGACAUUUUGCUGAUGUCUAAAGUUUAAGAAGCCAGCCUUUCCAAGAACUCAUUAGUGGAAUAGCAAGUGCAGACUCCUCAAGGAAGGGAAAGAAUGGGAUUGGGAAAGGGGUAGCAAAUGAGAUGAGAGUUUGUGUAUAUAUAACUGAGUGAGACACUUGGUAGAUCUUCUUCAAAAAUGGUAAUAUUGCUGUCUUUACAGCUCUCAUUUUCCUCGUACUUUUUUUGCAUUCAUUAACUUUUCUCUGAUGAACAUCUAUUACAUUUGCAAUUAGAAAAAUUUUAUAUAGCUGAGCACAGUGGUACCGAACUAUAAUCCCACCUGGGAUUACACCUGUAAUUCCAGACACCUGGGAGGUUGAAGCAGAAGGAUUGCAAUUUUGAGGCCAACCUGGGCAAUUUAGCAAGACCCUAUCUCAAAAUAAAAAAUAAUAAUUAAAAAAAGGGGGCAUUGCUGGGGAUGUAACUCAAUGGUAGAGCACUUUGGGGUUAAUUUCCAGUAAUAAAAUAAAGGAAAAGUUUUAUAUAUUUUUAAAGGAAUUAAAUUUGAUUUCUUUUUUCAGAAAAUAGCCAGCAUUUUUGCACCUCAGGAAAGAAUUUCAGGUUAUUUUGGCUUAAAUAAUUGUAACAUUGCACUCUUUGUUAAUUUUUUUCUCUGAACAGAUUAUUUCCUGCCUCUGUAUUUUCUAGUGCUCAGUAUAUAUCUGCCUAAAUGACAAGUUAUUAGUUGUUAAUACUUGUUAAUAACUCCUCAUAUUUUAAGUUUUUAAAAUAUUUUGUUUCAGUUGUAGUUGGACGCAAUACCCAUAUUUUAUUUUUAUGUGGUGCUGAGGAUCGAAUCCAGCGCCCUGCACAUGCUAGGUGAGUGCUGUACCGCUGAGCCACAACCCCAGCCUCCUCAUAUUUCAGAUUUUGAGAGUGAAAAUCUUCUUAGUCUUUCUGCGCAAAGACUUUGUGAUGCCGCUUCACUGUUUGUAUCAGGCUCACUGGCUGCAGUAAAUUAAAGCCAAAUCUCAAGCAGCUGUGUUUAUAAGGACUCCCUCGAUUAAGAGCCCAGUGGCCAUGCAGCACACUCCCUCCUAUCUGGUGGCCAAGAACAUGAGCUUUGGAGUCCUGUUUGAGUUUUCCUCCACUACUUAACCAGCCUGGGACUUUGGACAAGUUAUUGCUCUCCCUAAGCCUUAGUUUCCUCACUUGUUAAAUGGAGAUAUAAAGAUCUUAAAAGCACUUCAACUUAUGGGGGGACUCAUGAAGAGUACAUGAACUGGUGCCUGGGAGCAGUUACUGUUGAUCUCACCACAUGCUGACCCUGGAGGUAGACCCUGCCCACACUGACUGCAGCAGUAAGGAGUGCACAGAUUGAUGAGCAGGACUGCCAGCUUAUUUUAUAUCUUCAGUACAAUAUGACUUGCCAAAAGAAAAAUGCACAAGUUAUAAGAUGAAUUAUCAGAGUGAACACACCUGUAGCCCCAUCUAGGUCUAGAAAUAGAGCAUGGCCAGUGCCCCAGAAAGUCCCCUUAUCCUCCCUCUCCCAGUUAUAUUUUCUCCCUCUCCCUGAAGAGUGCCUGAAUUCUAACACUGUGGUUUUCUUGCUUUUCAAUGUUGUAUAAACGGAAUCUACUCUUUAACCAGGUGUUCCGCCUUCUUUCACUCAACAUUAUGGUUGAGAUUCUCCAUACUACCAUGCAAGUUGGUAGUUUGUUCAUUAUGGAUAAUAUGGCAUAUUUAUCUCUUUUAUUAUGGGUGGGUAUUUGGGCUGUUUCCGUGGGGCUGUCCUGAAUAGUGGACUAAUUAUUAUUAACUCUCUUGUACAUUUUUGUUUUAGCCCAAGGACCUAGAUCAGCACUCAGGAAAACCAACUUAGAAAUAUCAAAUGUUCCCCAUUUUUUUUAAGUACUUGAAAGUUGAGGCACCAUAAUCAUCAAACAUAAAACCAGCUGGAGUGCCAGAUGGGAUUUUUCUCCAAACACUUUCUCCUUCCUUGAAUUUGAUCCCCAUUUUAGUGGAGGUUCCACUUCAAAAUUGCAACCUUCUGAGCUAGCUGAUGCACUUGUAUUUUGCACUAACAAGGGCAAGACUGCAAAGAUUAGGACAAAGAGGCAAAAAGCUAAUUUACAUAAUGGAGUGGGAGGAGAAAAAGCCCAGAUACUAACACCCCAGGGAGAGCACAGUGCUACCAUUCUAAGAAAGGAAGCAGCCUUGUGUCUUCUGCAUUGUAGGGUUUUAUGAUCUAGUUGGGAUCCUCCCACCAUGAAUUUUUCAUUUGGGGCGGUUAACAUGGCUUUCUGCUAUGGCUUAGUGCCUCAGUUCUCUGUGCAUACUCCUAAAUAGGAAAGUUCCAUUUCUUUUUAGUUUUAAGAAGGUAGUAUCUAGGGCUGGGGAUAGAUAAGAUAAGAUAGAUAAGAACACUUAUCUAGUGUGCAUGAGGCCCUGGUUUCCAUAUCUAGCCCUGAAAAAAAAGCACCUAUGACAGUGGUGGUUAUGGGUGGAGUUUUUCAUCCCACAAAGUGGAGUGAUCUUAUCACUCAAGAUGGAGUGAGCUCUAUUCUCCCUUCUCCCAUCACCCUACUCACAUCUGUCUACCUACUAUAACAUUUUUAUGUAUGUUUUUGUACAUGUGUAUAUUGUACAUUGUGCCUACAUGGUACCAAAUUAGCUUACACAUAAAUAAGUGCUCAUAAAUUUAAAGGACAUAAAUUCAUAUGACUUUGAGUUCAAAUAACUUAUGUAAAUCCUUAAAAAUAAUUUAAACUUGUUAGAUAAAAGUAAAGAUAUCUUUGGAAUAAUGAACACAAAUUUUUUUUUUUUUUACCUAGGUUACUCACCAGUCAGGACUAUAUUUGCCUCUGUUAAGAAGUUUGAAAUACAGCAUCCAUUGCUUUUCGGGUUUUUCUUUGGCAAAUACUACUACUAAUAAUAUUAAUAAUUUAAAAUGUUAACUGUGUUUGAUACCCUGGUUUUCUUGGGUAAUCUAAAAAUAACUAUUGAAGUGGGUAAAUUAGAUAGACAUAAAUGGAAUAAACAUUUUUAAAUGUAUGUGUUAGGAAAAACAUCUCAGUCAUUUGUAAGUGAAAAUAUUGAAACAUUGGGGACUAGGGUUGUAGCUCAGAGAUAGAGUGCUCGUAGCAUGCAUGAGGCACUGGGUUCAAUCCUCAGUACUACAUAAAAAUAAAAUAAAGAUAUUGUGUCCACCUACAACUAAAAAAAUAAAUGUUUAAAAAAUAUUGAAACAUCAAUUGCUAAGUUCAAGUAUUCUUAAAUUCUAUAAGAAUAUAUAUGUGAUUGGGUCUACUAAUAAUUGUAUUUUUAUGAAUUAUUGGUAUUUGAAAGAAUAAGUUUCUGCUCUUCACUAAAAAGCAAGAUCACUAAAAGUUAAAUUCUAAUUAACAUGUAAUUCUAUAUGCAAAGAACACAAAAAAUCUUAAUGUUUUAAUUUAAAUAAGCAUAAGGUAUUUUAAGUCAUUGAUAAAAGAUUAGUUAGCUUAAAUUCAGAAAUUUUCUAAAGAUUGUUUUAAAUUUUAAAUUUAAGGAAGAAAAAAGGCAUAAUAUAACCAACAAGUAAUAAUCAACAAGAAGAAAGAGAAAAUUAUUCGGAUGUAUUUUGGGGGAAUUUUUUGGAUGAGAAGGGAUUUUGUAUGGUAAAGUAAGAUUUUUGUCCUAAAGUCCAAGAUGGGUAAAAAAGAGGAAAAAAUUAAGGAUGUAAACAAGUUAUAGAGUAUCUAAGGAAGUUGUACAAGAUUUGUGGGAGAUAAAUUAUAUCAAAUUUGUGUAAUUAAGUAGGCUAUCAUUAACAUUUAAAGGGAACUGUCUUAAGAAUAAAAAUUUUGUGUUUUAUUAAAAUAAUUUCUUGUGUUGAUUAGGUUUUCAUUACUUGAAGAAACUCUUAAAAAGAAUUAGGGUGUAAGUGCCUUUCUGUUUUAAAAUCUUUUCAACACUCACUUUAUAACUAAUUAAAUGACAAUGUUAGAUUAUUAUGAUAUAUUUGACACCUGUAUGUCUGUGACUAGAAACCUGAAUGCAUCUUGAUAUUGAGCAGGGGCAAGAGGCUAGGCUUUGCUGCUCAUUAUGCUCCACAAAUACUCUGAAAAGUAUUGGCAGGAAAAUAGGUUAAUUCAAAGCCAGCUUUGAAGGAAGAUAGGAAGAGACUUUUUGUCUGAAAUAAUCAUCUUAAGAGAGCUGAAGGGUGAGAAAAGCUUUUAGAAGAGAAGAGGAGGCAAAGUAGGACAAAGGCAAGAGAUGUAGGCAGAUUUAGUUACCCAGAGAACCUGUCUAUCUCAGCUUCCAAUGAGCCUCCUAAUUGAGAGGAAGUUUACAAGUUCCUCAGUAUGAGGAAGUUCAGAAGUUAGAACAAUUUGGAACUUUAAUUCACAUCCUACAGAAAGCUAUCAGGAAGUUGCUCUUAGUUUCGGAGGGACUGUUUAAACCCGAGAGCUAAAUAUGCUUUGUCUAAAUGUUACACAUGAGUUUGUAAAGUUAAAAGUAUGUAGGUUUAAUACAUACAAGGUGAUUUGUUAAGUGUUCUUUACAUACAUGAGAUGCACUUGUACAUCAGGUAAUAAUCUAUUUAUGGGUAUUAGCACUGUUUCCUGAACAGACAAGAGUUUUAAAUCUAAUCUUGGAAUUUGCUGGUGCUAUUAACCUAUGUAGACUAGUUAAAGGCAAAACUACAAUAUUAAGAGUUACCUUACUGAACUAUGAUUUUUAUACAUAUACAUAUGUGGGGUGGGGGGAACUUCUGUGUUGCUCUGAUACUGAGUAUUCCUGGCUUCUUUGUAUGUUAAAUGUAUUCAUGUUCCCCAAAUGUAUAUGUAUUCUAAAAUGCAAAGUUAGGGAAAACACCUUACCAAACUGGUGUCCUCCAAUUGUGGGGACAGGCUUUUUUUUUUUUUUUUUUUCCAGGUACAUGUUUUUGUGCUCUUGUUUGUAUUAUGACUGUUCUCUUUGAGCAAAUAUAGUUAGAUAUUCACAAACCCUUGGCAUUCCAAACUGUGAUACUGUGAUAAUUAAAAGAAUUGGACAUUGGUCAUCUAAGGAGUACCUCAGAAAUUACUACAUUCUAUUUUAAUUUUUAAACUUUUCAUUUAUUCUUAAGAGACAGAAUGUCAUUUAAGAUAUGUAAUUGGCUAAAAGUAACCUGUUACUGAUGAUUUAUAUGGGGAGAAUUAUGUUAUUUGUUACACUGGGGUAGGAAUUUAUAUGUAUUUUUGGAAAGACAAUAGGGAGAACCUGAUUAAUUUUUAAGGUUGGCAAUAUGCAACAUGAAAACAGUUUUUCCACCAAAAAAGGGAAAUUAAGCGUUUUCUUAGCCUUUCCAUUGGAGCUAGGUUGCAGAUGUGAUUAUAUCAUGUUAACUAAUCUUCAAACAGAUUCAAUACGUGAGAGCUUUGUUUUCUUUUACUCCUGAGUAGAAUGAUAUUUAAAGGGUGGGGGAGAAGAAUAUUAGCUUAAAAUGUAAAAAUUUCAACUAACAUUUGUCAAAAGACCAGCCUUUCCUGGGCUAAGACUCUGCCUUUUGCACUGCUCCAUGUUAGGAUAACCCCCAAAGUAGGCAAUGGGAAGUUCUAGUAGGGUGCAAAAGGGUUUUAAAAAGAAAUAGGAUUUGUAAAUGAUAUCAUGCAUGAUGGAGCUGAUAAAUUAUUUAUUGGUUUUUGUAGAAGGUAACCAAAUAUCAAAGGUAUAUAAGUGUUAUAAAAAUUGUGUUUCUUGGUUCAGAGCAGUCAUACAAACUAAAUGUGUUUCUGCUGUUUUUAAUUUUGUUUUGUGUUUCUCUUGUAAAACUUUAUAAAUGUCUCCUGUUAAUGUUUUAUGAAAUACAACUUCUAAUAGAAUAACCUAACAAUUUGAGCUAGUAAGCCAUCACCUAUAGGAUGGACAGGAUGUAACAUUGACUCUUCAUACUAAUGGUGACCCCAAUUAAGUGGAAGGGGUAACUGUAAAAUACAAAAGUUAAAAUUAGGACUUACUAUUCCUACUUCAUCUCUGGUAGAACUGGCCCUCUGGGUAUUCAACAACUGAUACUUUGAGACCAAAGCCAAGGAAAAUAAAAGGGCUAAGAAAAAAUAAUAGUGAAUAUUUUGACCCUUGUCCUUCAAGGUCAACUAGGACCUGGGGAAAGGUGGAAUCCCUCUAAAGACCCUGUAACUCUGAGUUAGUUGCUAAUCAAGAGGAUUGUGAGGGCCCUAGAGAAUGGGAUAUCCGGAUAUAUUCUGCAAAGAGGAGGAGGGUCAUUGGAAAGGGAACUGUCCCCAGUGCUUCAAGGGAAACCACAUGUGUUCAGCAACACCCUAACCCAUCCUGGCAGAUGGUAUAGCUGGUAGAAAAAAAAGACUAAAGGUGCCAAAAGAAUCCUCAUAAGUUCCUAAAAGUAACCCAUGAGGAAUAUCUCCAGAACUUAACAGGAAAAAAAGAAAGAGAUUAAUUUUAGGCCUACCUAAAUAGGGGUCACCUGCUUGGACUCAAACACUCAUGAGGGAAAUAUAACCAAACACAAAUGUACUAAUAUCAGGGUGGUAGAAAAGUAAAAGAAAAUCAUUCAUGGACAAUUAAAAGGGAAAAACAGUGGCUCUUUUAAAUGUAACUUGGGGUUCUUAUGCAAGAUUGCCUGACGCUGAAGUCCUUCCAUCACGCACAUCCACAUAAAAGAUGGACCUCAUAGCUCAGACAGGGGCCCUCUGUUUAGAUAAGAAAAAAAAAUAAUCAUUUCCUUGUUUUUAUCCCGAAUAUAUUUUUUUUAGUAGUCCAUACUCUCAGAGGUAUUUAGAAGGAGAAUCCCCUACAUGGUUUAUUUAUUUAGUUAGUUAGUUGGAUGUGUUCUGACUUUGUCUCCCUUUUAUAAUUUACAAUGAUACUUCUACUUUUAGGCUUAAGCAUCUGACCCUUAUUGCUUAUAUGCUUCAGGCCAAGAAACCUGCAAAGGCAGAUUGGCUGACACUCCAAUGCCUUCAGACUAAGGAAUGGACAAAAGACAAAGGUGGCAAAAUUGUAACAGGGAUUUCGACUCCUCACUUUUGCCUGCAAAAAUCUGAUAGUUGGAUAAAAGCAAGAUUAAAGAUGUGGCAUCACUGCCUCCAUUUGCAUCUGUCUCCUUUGCCCUGAAUUACCUUGGAGUCAGCAACAGGUCUGAUGGAUACACAUCUUGUGAUGAGUCAAAGAAAUUUUCUUAGUCCCUCUUGACCAAUCCUGAGAUAGUGAUGGACCAGAUGACACUUGAAGAUCACCUGCUUUGGCAGCUGUGCAGUGCCUGAAACUGUGCAGAGCCCCAAACUUUACCCUCAUUUCCCUGUCUAUAAAAUCUCAAUGUCAUUAGACAAGGCUAAGGACAUAUGGGUCCUCUUGUUUUGGUGCAUCUAUACUGAUUAAAGUUCCUAUCAUGCUUUUCACCCUUUCCUUUUCUGUUAGGUUUUUGGUGCUAGUGGCCAGACCUGUUUUGUUGAAUCCCCAGUGAGGCUCUGGCCUAGGACUCUGGUAACAUAUGUAGCUGCUUCUAAAAAGCCUAUCAUUUCUCAUAUGUGGUUUUAAAAUUAUUUUAUAAAUACCAUUGACAUACACACAAACACAGUUUGUAUAAAAUUAUUUAUAUUCUAGUUUUUACUCAGCAUUUUGAGAUCUAUUCAAAUUGAAAUACUAUGUACAACUCGUGUGUGUGUGUGUGUGUGUGUUUGUGUUUGUAUUUCCAGCUAUCAUAAAGGAUUCCAUUAGAAGGCAUACCAGGUUUUAUUUGUCUAUUCUUACUGAUACACAUUUUAACCUUGAGUUUUGGGCUUUUGUGGCCUAACGAUAAGCAUACAUGUCUCCAGGAUGCACAUAUGUGAGCAUUUUCUAGGAUACAUAUCAAGAAAAGGAAUGGCUGCUUUUCAUUUUUACUAGAUGCCACCAAGAAAUUGUAGCAGUUUGUGUUUUGCCCUAGUGUAUGAUAGGUAGCAUUUACCCCAUAGGUAUAGGUAGCAUUUACCUGAUUAAUUUUAAGCUUUUUGAUAUUUUUCAGUCUGAUGGGUUAAAAUUUCAAUAUCUCUACCUGAUUUUAAUUUGCCUUUCUUUAUUAAUUUGCCUUCAUUACUGGUGAGAUUGAGUCUCAUUUCAUGUUUGUUGACCAUUCUGAUUUCCUCUUCUGCAAACUGCUUACAGUUCAUUCAUUUUCUUUUUAACUUGUAAGUUUUCUACAAACUUUAUAGAAACUUAUAUAUAUAUAUAUAUAUAUAUAUAUAUAUAUAUAUAUAUAUAUAUAUAUAAAACAAUAUUCACAGGUUUUUACAGAUAGGUACCAUAUGAAAAAAUAUAGUAAAAAGAUUCUGGAAAUACCAGUCCUUUGUUUGCUUUAUUGUAAAUAUCCUAAGUCUGUGGCUCAUAGUUUAACUGUGUUUAUGGUGUCUUACUCUAUAAUAGUAGUGAUGUAGUUUAACAUGGUACUGCGUAUUUUCCCUCUGUUUUAUAAGGUAGGCUUUUUGUAACUUAUCUAUGAAGGUUCUCCUUACAGAGGUCACAAAUAUAUUCUGGUAUACUUUGUAGUAAUAGUUUAAUUCUUCACGUUUAGCCUUGUACAGAGUACUGAGUCCAAUCCCAGUGGUUUGUGAUGUCAUUUGUCAAAUCCCCAUGUAUGUGUGGAUCUGCCUCUGGUCUUGCUAUUUGAUCAUUUAACCUAUAUUUAAUCUUGGUUUUAUUUACUGUAGCUCUCAUAUGAUUUUAUAAUCCCCAUCCAACUCUGGCCUCAUUCUUUGUUUUCAAAAUUGUCUUGAUUAUUCUUGGAUAAUUAUGGUCCUAGAAUUUUAGGUUCUUUUAUCAAUUUUUUUUAAAUCCUAUGAUUUUAUUGAUUAAUUGGGGAAGUAGUUUCUUUAGUUUGGAGUUUUCUUAUCCCCAAAUAUUUUAUCUCUCUUCAUUUAUUCCUAGUUUUCUUUUUUUACAUUCUGUAGAAAAAUUCCUUAGUUUUUAGUUUUCUACCUCAGGUCUUGCACGUUUUUGUUAACUUAAUCUGACAUUUUAGUUUUUGUUGCCUUUGUAUUUUUUCUGUUAAAUUUUAUUUUUUCAUGUUUGUCAUUUAUAUCUUGAGAUCUCAUAGCUGACCUAUUUGUAAACCUACUCAUCUUUAUAUAUUAUCUUUUCCUCCCUUGAGUUUUUGUGUAAAUGAUUAUGUCAUAUGAAAGUAAUGAGGUUUUUCCCCUUUUAAACAGUUUUUUUUUUUUGGUCUCAUUUUCUUGUUAUAAUGGAUAAUGAGGAUCUCUGAGUAACACUGAAGGGUGGGGGCAUCCUGUUCUUUUUCCUAGCCACAAUGGAGAUGUCUCUGAAGUCUGAUUGUUGUGAUUACUGUGGUUUCUUUAACAGAUAAGGAUAUCUUAUGAGAAAUCUCUGGGGUUUUCCUAAUUAUUUGCUAUAGCAGUAUUACAGUGAAUGAUCUUACAUACAUACAUCAUUUUGGACAUUUUUAAUCCUAAUGUUUGCUUGUUAUGUGAUAAUCAUCUUUAUUGUUUUUAUUUCAUUAUUUUCUACUUUAUUAUUCAUCUUAUUUUCUUUGAAAGAACAUCGUAAUUAUUAACUUCUUGAGCUAAAUAUUUAGCUCACUUAUUUUCAAUCUGUCUUUUUCUGGUAAUUAAAGAAGCCAGACUUAGAAGUGUGCCUACUGUAUGAUUGUAUACUGGAUACUGUGUGAUUCCAUUGAUGUGACAUUGUAUCGGUAGAAAAGCAAAACGAAACAGAUUAGUGGUUGCCUGGGGAUGGGAGGAAGACUUUCUUACAAGGCAACACAAAGUAGAAUUUUGAGAUGAAACUUUUUCUGUCUUGUUGUGCUGGUGGUUAUCUGACUAAAAACUUACAAAACAGCAUGAUAAAAAGGGUAUACUUAAAAAAGAAGGUGGGGGUAAAUUUUACUGUAUGUAAAAUUAUAUACCAAUAAAUAUGUGAAAUGAAUAUAAAAAUAAAAGGUAAUUCAAUUUUUUAAAGAACUACUUUGUCUUUAGAAGGUCAUUAAAUUUCUAUAAGGACUGAUUAAGUUAUGUCUGGUGUGUUUAUACGUAGCACAAAUAGUUUCAGAAUCAAAAUAAUAUAAAAAGGUGUUACGUUAAAGGGUCUUGCUCUCGUCCCUUUCCUAAUCCACCCAUUCCUCCCUGCCUACCUUGUGUGUCUUUCUAUCAUUUUUUCUCAUGCGCACAUAAAUAUUUUUUAUUUUCUUUUCCUUUCUGACAUAAAAAUUAACACAUUAUAAACAUUGUUCCAUAUCUCACUUCCCUUAAUAUAUUUUAGAAAUCUUCCCAUGUCAGACUUUAUUCUUGUCUUUUUCUUUAAAACGGCUAUACAGUUGUGAGGAUGUACGAGGCAUAGUUGGUGUAAGAUAUCUUAUGAGAAAUCUCUGGGGUUUUCCUAAUUAUUUGCUAUAGCAGUAUUACAGUGAGUAAUCUUACAUACAUACAUCAUUUUGGACAUACGAAGUUGCAUCUGAAAUAAAUUUCUGAAUCAAAAUUACUAAUGAAAGGGGUGAAUGUGUUGUAAUUUGAGUAUGUACUUCCAUUGUCCUCCAUUGGAGGUUUGCAUUUUGUAUGCCAACAGAAAUAUGAGAGGAAAUUUUUGUCUUUCUUAAUUCUUUUUAUUAUUAUUACUGAAUUAUUUUAAAGUACACAGAGGUUCUUGACAUCCUACUGCUAAAUUCAUCAGUGUUUGACUCUUAAAAAUAGUAAACUUAAAAUUGUUUUUAACAGUUUCAUUGAUGUAUAGUUGACAUGACCAUAAAAUUAUUUUAAGUGAACAGGUCAGUAAUGUUUACUGAAUUUAAACAUGCUCAGUCAUCCACAACACAAUUUUAAAAUGUCACCAUUCCCUAUGCCCAUUUGCAAUCAGACCCAGUUUCAUACCAGGCAAUUAUUGACCUAGUAUUUAUAGAUUUUCUCUUCUUGGCCAGGCACUGUGGUGCAUACCUGUAAUCCCAACAGCUCAGGAGGUUAAGGCAGGAGGAUUACCAGUUUAAAGUUAACCCCAACAACUUAGUGAGAUCCUGUCUCAAAAAUAAAAAGGUCUGGGGAUGUAUGUUAGUGGUAGAUGCCCUUGGAAUCAAUCCCUAGUAUCCCCUCCCCAUACCCCUAAUUUUUUCCCUUUCUGAAUAUUUAAAGUGACUCACACAUUAUCUGGUUUUGAGUGUCUAACUUUUUAAAUGUUGUGUAAGUUUUUUUAGACACAUGCAUUUAAGAAUUCUACAACUGAUAUUUGUUUUGGCAUGUAUUAGAACUUUGUUUCUUCUUUCAGGUGAGUAAUAUCCAAUUGUAUGGCCAUGCCACAUUGUCUUUAUUCAAAAAAAUUUUUAUAGCCAGUUGACAUUAUUUUACUUAACAAAAUAAUUCUUCCUGAAUCACCUAAUGUCUGGAUUGUCUUUAAUUUCUGCAGGAUCCAGGCCAGGGCCAUACAUUGCAACUGUAUCUGUCCCUGGAUCUCUUUUAAUCUGGAACCAUUACUUUUUUCAUGGCACUACUAGCUGAAAAAACUAGCUCAUUUUCUCCUAAAACCCACCUCCUAGAUUCCCUUGAUUGUUUUCUCGUGGUAUUUCUUUGCUUAUGAAUUUCAUAUAUAUAUAUAUAUAUAUAUAUAUAUAUAUAUAUAUAUAUAUAUAUAUAUAUAUAUAUAUCUUAUAUAUUUCUUUAUGUAUUUCUUCUCUUUUGUAUUUCUUGUAAAACUUGAUUAGAUUUCAAUCAAAUAUUUUCAACUAGGAUACAUCACAAGUAAUAUUGUUCAUGUUUUAUCUCAUUAGGAGACAGAUAAUAUGUAUUUUUCCACCAUUGAUAAUGUUAAGAUUGAUCAUUGAGUUAGAGUUAUGACACCCUCAUCCUACAAUGUAAAGUUUAUAUCUGUUCGGUCCUUGCAUCUAAAAAAUGUAAUCUUUGUGAUAUUCCUUUGGUACUACACAGAUGUUUAUUUCUUCAUCAGUCCUGAAUUUGAUGAUCAAAACACUGAUUAAAACACUGAAUCUGUAAUUUCAUGAGAUGUUGCAAAAUGAGGCAGUUUUGUUGUUCUGUCAUUCCAUCUACGUUUUUCUAUAAAAAGUUUUUCCUUUUUCAACCAAAGCUGUUUGCUUCCCUUGAAAAACAAGUAAUGAUGAUGAUAUGAUGAUGAUUUUUGUACUAGGAAUUGAAUCUCAGGGGUGCUCUACCAAUGAGCUAUGUCCCCAGCUCCGUUAAUUUUUUAUUUUGAGAUAGGGUCUCACUAAGUUGCUGUUGGCCUUGAACUUGCAGUCCUCCUGCUUUAGCCCUCCUAAAUAGCUAGGAUUAAGGUGUGCACCCCUAUUUCCAUUGUAUCAUUUUUUUAUUGUUUUUUUAGUUAUACAUAAUAAUAGAACACACUACAAUAUAGUUAUAAAAUCACAGAAUAUAAUUUGUUCUAAUUCAGUCUCCAGUACUUCUUUCCUCUCCCAUCCUCCUGUUCUGUUCCCUCGGUUCUACUAAUCUUUCUGCUGUAUACUUACAGAUUUUUUUUAAAAAAUUACUGUUUUAUGGAUGUACAUGAUGAUUCACUGUCAUAAAUUUGUAUACAUACAUAGGAAAGUUAGGUCAGGUUUAUUCCACUGACUUUUCCUAUUCCUUCCCUCAUCCCUUCCUUUCAUUCCCCUUUGUCUAUUCCUCUAUAGAUCAUUCUUUAAAACCAGGAAAAAAAAUACUUGUCUCCCCACCUCAUCAGUAAUUUUCAAGUUAAGGAUUGGUGUAAUAUCUGUUUCAUUGAGAUAUACUGCAUUGUCACUGUUCAUCUGCAGAUAUCUGAAAUAAUUUAUAGUGUGAUAGUCUCUUUAAAUUUGUGGGUUAAACCAAAAUUGUGUGUGUGAUUAUUUUAAGUUUCUAACAAAACUUUUUUUCUACAGUGCUAAGGAUUGAACUCAGGGCCUCAUGCAUGCUAGGCAAGUGAUUUACCACUGAGCUACAUCCCAGGCCCUAAACAAAUUUUUAAAAUGUUUUUCAUACAUUUUUGUUGUUGAUUUGUAAUUAUAUUGUGAUUACAGAAUGUAGCCUAUACUCAGUUGUGUUUUUAGAACUAUUGAGUGGUCUGUGUAAUCUGAUACCAGUUUUUUGAUAAAUGUUUUAUACAGUCUUUAAAAAAGUAUAGUAGUCUCUCAGUAUCUGUGAAGGAUUGGUUCAAGGACCCCUGUGGACACCAAAGUCCUCUUACGCUCAAGGCCCAUAUAUAAAACAGUAUGGUAUUUAUAUGUAACUUAUACAUAUCCUUCAGUAUACUUUAAAUAAUUUGUAAAUUGUAUUACCUAAUACAGCAUAAAUAGUUGUUAGACUCUGUUUAGGGAAUCAUGGCAAAGAGAAUAAGCCUACACAUGUUUGGCACAGACAUUUUUCCUAAUAUUUUUUAUCUGCAGUUGGUUGUAUACACGUGUCACCCAUGGAUAUGGAUGGCCUACUGUAUUUCUUUUCUUUUUAUUAAAAGAAAGAUGCUAAAUAAUUCUAUUAGAUCAAGAUUAUUAAUAAUAUUAUUUGAAACACAUUCUUAAUUUUUGUUUGCUAUAUCAGUUACUUAGGGUCUUAGACCAUUUUUCAAGAGAUUGGACAACACUUAAAAGAAAAUAUGUAUUUAGCUUAUAGUUUUGGAAGUUCAAGAACAUGAUGCCAGCAUCUGCUUGGCUUCUGAGGAGGGCCAUAUGUUGAUCCAUGUGUGGCAGGAAAGUGGAAGUGGAAAUGGACAUGUACAGAAGGAGUAGAUGUGUACGAGGGACUGAGGAGUAACAGUUCACUCUUCCCACUGUCAGGGGAGCUAUGUUAAUACCUUCAUAAGACUGGAGCCCCUGACCUAAUUACCUCUCCCUGCCUCCUCAUCCACCCCAGUGCUGGGGAUUGAACCCAGGGAUAUUCUACCACUGAGCUAUGUCCCCAGCCCAUUUUAUUCUUUUUUUUUUUUCAUUAAAUUUUAUUUUAUUUUUUAUUAGUUGCUCAUGACAGUACAAUGAUCUUGACAUCAUACAUUUGAUUCAAAUGGGGUAUAAAUUCUCAUUUUUCCACGUGUACAGGUUGCAGGAUCACAUUGAUUAGGCGAGCAUUCUGCCACCAAGCCACAACCCCAUGGUUACAUAGCUUCUUGAUUGGUAAAUUAUCUUUUUGGAUAGUUCCUUCUAUUAGGAACAUAAUUCCCUUUGUUGCCAUUCAAUUAGAAUAUGUGAUGUUAAAUCAUGUACAACCACAAAAAUUUAUUACCCAUGUAUAUACAUCAAAAUACAUUCUACUGUCAUGUAUAACUAAAAAGAACAAAUAAAAAUUUAAAAAAUACAUAUGUGAUGUCAAAACUUAACUAUAGAAGCCUUCUCUUAGUUGGCAUUUUCAGCUGAUAAUAUUCUUUCCUUUUUCCUAAUAUUUAAACAUUUUGUAUUAUUUUGUUUUAGGUGUGUGUCUUAUAAGCAGUUUAUAGCAGAAUUUUAAGCCAGUCU
rnacentral:lncRNA from 1 species